UACGUAGGUGGCAAGCGUUAUCCGGAAUUAUUGGGCGUAAAGAGCGCGCAGGUGGUUAAUUAAGUCUGAUGUGAAAGCCCACGGCUUAACCGUGGAGGGUCAUUGGAAACUGGUUGACUUGAGUGCAGAAGAGGGGAGUGGAAUUCCAUGUGUAGCGGUGAAAUGCGUAGAGAUAUGGAGGAACACCAGUGGCGAAGGCGGCUUCCUGGUCUGCAACUGACACUGAGGCGCGAAAGCGUGGGGAGCAAACAGG
rnacentral:rRNA from 1 species